rnacentral:rRNA from 1 species
UAGGGAAUCUUCGGCAAUGGACGAAAGUCUGACCGAGCAACGCCGCGUGAGUGAAGAAGGUUUUCGGAUCGUAAAACUCUGUUGUUAGAGAAGAACAAGGGUGAGAGUAACUGUUCACCCCUUGACGGUAACUACCCAGAAAGGGACGGCUAACUACGUGCCAG